CAAGAGCUCAGUAAUCUUCUGUCAACCUCUUCCAGAACCAAACUGUUAGAUGUCAACAAGCUUCAAACUGGGCUCCAGACCACCUAUAGAAUCAUGUGUGUCCAAAAGCAAACAAGUGGAUUCCAGUGCCCCUGAGCUCUGUCCUUGGUGACACAACAAUGAAGACCCCAAGUUCUGCAGGCUGAAAUGACGGAGGCCAGGACAAAGGGUAGGGGGAAGCCCUGCCUGCCCCUCUGAGAGCAGCUCCGGGCCACAGACAGAAAGGGAAAAUGCUCGGAAAGCACGAGGCAGAGCAAGCAGGAAAGAGUUGCUAUGAAGAUUGACUGACCUAGAAAAUCCAGAUGGCUCCUUCCAGUGUGCAGAUUUCCCCAACCCAGUUGUUCACAUAUAUCACUGACAAUGUGUGCCCCUAACUCUUAUUUGUUUUAAAUAGACUCUUUAAAAAAGA